rnacentral:rRNA from 1 species
AUUGAACGCUGGCGGCCGGCCUAACACAUGCAAGUCGAACGCGUCGCGGACGGGUGAGUCAUGUCUGGGAACCUGCCUGAUGGAGGGGCAUAACUCCUGGAACCGGUAGCUAAUACCGCAUACCAUCGGAUGUGCCCAGAUGGGCUUAGCUAGUAGGUGGGGUAAAGGCUCACCUAGGCGACGAUCCCUAGCUGGUCUGAGAGGGUGACCAGACAAACAGGAACGAGGACACGGGCCAAAAUCCUACGGAAGGAGGAAGUGGGGAAUAUUGAACAUAGAGCGAAAGACUGAUGAAGCAAUGCGGGGGAUAGGAAGAAGGCCUUGGGGUUGGAAAGGACGUUCAGCGGGAAGGCGGUAACCGCAGAAGAAGAAACGGCUAACUACGUGCCAGCAGCCGCGGUAAUUC